ACGACCUUAUCUGUGACAACAGUAACAGCUAGGCAACUUCGGUGCUGGACACGGUUUUCUGUAGAAAUCCUGAAAUAUACAGAGUGUAUUACCAUAUGCUUGCUUCUUUGAGUAUGUGCCUGAAACAAGAAUGUCCUGGAGAAAACGGACCACAACAAGAAAAGAGAUGGAGAGGAAGGGCUUGCUGUUGAGAGAUCAUGGGGUGCCUUGAGGUUCCACUUCCAGUCUUGAUGUUCUGCCCCUUACCUCUAAGCGAUGGCCUCUUGUGCCUGGCAAUAUAUGAGCGAAGCACAAUGGACUGCCGGCUUGUCGGAAUUGCGUACAAGGAUGCCAUUGGACUUUUCUGUACUAGUAGCUGAAGGGGGGAACAGUCACCAGAAGGAGCAUGCAACUCCAAAACAAUGUGGAUACUUCUACCGAGUUCAUCUCAAGAAUCAAGAUGUGACAGUGGAUGUACAUGUAGAGGGGUUUGUGACCCUCCUGACUGUGGACUACAUGCAAUACACAUCAAUGGAUUGUAGAGGAGUAAUGGUGGGUCCGGUGAGCUCAACUCUGGAGGUUAAGUUCGCAAAAUUAUUAAAUUUCCUUUUAAUAUGGGUGUAUAUGGUUCCAGGGAUUAAUUUGACGCAAUGCCUCGUAGUGACACGCCCUAUUAAGGGGCGACACACGUGUCAGAAGGUAUAAAAUGGGUUUUGGCACGAGCUUUUACUUUUCGGAUGACUUCCUCAUUUUGUUUCAUACCUCAUUUCCUUUGCCGCCAUGAGGUGCUAAAGUUUUAGCAGAGUUGGGGGCUUCCAGCCCAUAGAUGUGACUUUUCAUGAUUAUAUGUAAUAAAUUGUAAUAAAGUUACUAUCCACUUCAACA